rnacentral:rRNA from 1 species
UACGUAGGGUGCAAGCGUUGUCCGGAAUUAUUGGGCGUAAAGAGCUCGUAGGCGGUCUGUCGCGUCUGCUGUGAAAACUCGGGGCUUAACCCCGGGCCUGCAGUGGGUACGGGCAGACUAGAGUGCGGUAGGGGAGACUGGAAUUCCUGGUGUAGCGGUGAAAUGCGCAGAUAUCAGGAGGAACACCGAUGGCGAAGGCAGGUCUCUGGGCCGUAACUGACG